GGGGAUUUAGCUCAGUGGCAUAAAAGCACCUGCCUUGCAAGCAGGUGGUCGUGAGUUCGAUCCCUA
rfam:Cavia porcellus supercont2_0 genomic scaffold, whole genome shotgun sequence.